AAAGAAAAUACAACGGAGGUGAGCCUUUUGGAUUAGGCCCAUCUUUCACCAAGAUCCCAGAUGGUGAAAUCCUCACUUACAGGAACCUUGCCAAAGAGGAGGCAGAAAGACUGUAAGGACCAGAGGAAAUGGAGGAGACCAGGAAAACAAGGCCCUCUAGUCAACACGAUCGAAGCUUGUAUAAACCCAGAGACUGAGGGAGCAAGCACAGGGCCUGCUCAGGGACUUUACGCAUAGAUGCUCCAUACAGAAGUCCCAAAAGCUGGACCUUCCACUUGAGAAACAAAAGACCCUCACAGUCAAAUGACAAAUUGAGGAGAAGGAGAAGGCUGGAAUUUCAGUCAGGAACUGGAACCAGGCUGCGGAUGAAAGGUGGCACACUUCUGUGUCUCCCUUAAUAAAACAUCCUCUUCCCUGUAACUACCCAUGUGUCACGGCACAAUUUGUAGUGAAGAGGCACAAGAAACAAGAACCUCAGAGCUCCAGCUGUGGCCCUCUCAGCCUACAUCGAUAUAUGUUAAAGAUCUGGGCUAAACAUCUGGAAAGACAAACUGAAGUCAGCUAAGCAAUUGACUCAACUUCUCGAUUAACCAUGCAUAUUUCUCUCUCUCUCUCUCUCUCUCUCUCUCUCUCUCUCUCUCUCUCUCUCUCUCUCUCUCCCCACACACACACACACUGUUCUUGUCUGACAAAUCCUCACUUAGACUUUCCUGGCCCCAACAUAAAUUUGAUCCACUUCUUGAUCUCCUUCUUCCAUGAGCUUAAAGAAAAGACAGUAAUUGUGUCUAAUUCUCCUUUUUCAGAUUCAAAAUUACUUGAUUUCUAGGUGAAAUCAACAUUGGCCACCUCUGGUACUUUUGAUGGAUGUUAAUCUUUAUUUUGACCACAGAAUCAGCACAGCAGGCCAUCGUAUAUAUAAGUGCACCCGCAAAUCAGGCUGUUAAACAGAUGGUGCCUGAAGCUGUAGAUAUACUAUCUGCACUGCACGCAGCUUUAUCCGUUUGUUUAGUCUACUGCCGGGAUCCAACUCCCUCCUUCAGUCUAGAGAGAGGAUGCUGAGAUAUUGUACAAACAGCAUGCAAGUUUCCAAGCUUCAGGAAAUUUCAGCUGAAGCCUUGACUGGAAGAAGCCUGUGCUACGUUUGCACGAGAAGCUAUUGUUAAAACCUCUUCCACAUUGUGAUGAACUCAUAUCCACAGUGUUUGGACUCAACAUUCACAAGGACUUGGCAGAAGCUUGUAUAGGAGGAGUUCCUUGUCAAGGGAAACAGGAGAAAAACAAGGCUGGCUUGCACAUUAUCUCAGCAUAUUCACAUGCACACAUACAUGCACACACACACACACAAUUUCUGGUAUUUAAAAUGAAAAUAGAGAAUAAUGUCUCCUCUCUAUAGCUGUUCCUUGGCUUUCUGCUGCAG